rnacentral:rRNA from 1 species
UACGGGGGGGGCAAGCGUUGUUCGGAAUUACUGGGCGUAAAGGGCGCGUAGGCGGCUCGCUAAGUCGGGUGUGAUAACUCUGGGCUCAACCCAGAGCCUGCAUUCGAAACUGACGGGCUAGAGUUCUGGAGGGGAAAGCGGAAUUCCUGGUGUAGCAGUGAAAUGCGUAGAUAUCAGGAGGAACACCGGUGGCGAAGGCGGCUUUCUGGACAGAAACUGACGCUGAUGCGCGAAAGCUAGGGGAGCAAACAGG